CCAGACUCCUACGGGAGGCAGCAGUGGGGGAUAUUGGACAAUGGGGGAAACCCUGAUCCGGCGACGCCGCGUGAGUGAAGAAGUAUUUCGGUAUGUAAAGCUCUGUCAGCAGGGAAGAAAGAAAUGACGGUACCUGACCAAGAAGCCCCGGCUAACUACGUGCCAGCAGCCGCGGUAAUACGUAGGGGGCAAGCGUUAUCCGGAAUUACUGGGUGUAAAGGGAGCGUAGACGGUGAUGCAAGUCUGGAGUGAAAGGCGGGGGCCCAACCCCUGGACUGCUUUGGGAACUGUACGGCUGGAGUGCAGGAGAGGUAAGUGGAAUUCCUAGUGUAGCGGUGAAAUGCGUAGAUAUUAGGAGGAACACCAGUGGCGAAGGCGGCUUACUGGACUGUAACUGACGUUGAGGCUCGAAAGCGUGGGGAGCAAACAGGAUUAGAUACCCCCGUAA
rnacentral:rRNA from 1 species